GAUGAACGCUGGCGGCGUGCCUAACACAUGCAAGUCGAACGAACCUAAUCUUCGGGAAAGGGUUAGUGGCGCACGGGUGAGUAACACGUAGGUGACCUGCCCCGAAGUGGGGGAUAACUUCUCGAAAGAGAAGCUAAUACCGCAUAUGCUCAGCCAUUCAGUUGGUUGAGUAAAGCUCCGGCGCUUCGGGAGGGGCCUGCGUCCGAUUAGCUAGUUGGUGGGGUAAUGGGCCUACCAAGGCGAUGAUCGGUAGCUGGUCUGAGAGGACGAUCAGCCACACUGGCACUGACACACGGGCCAGACUCCUACGGGAGGCAGCAGUGAGGAAUAUUGGUCAAUGGGCGAAAGCCUGAACCAGCAACGCCGCGUGAGGGAUGAAGGCCUUCGGGUCGUAAACCUCUUUUCUGGGAGAAGAGACAAGGACGGUAUCCCAGGAAUAAGUCUCGGCUAACUACGUG
rnacentral:rRNA from 1 species